GGGCCUAUAGCUCAGCUGUGGUUAGAGCGCACGCCUGAUAAGCGUGAGGUCAGUGGUUCAACUCCACUUAGGCCCACCA
rnacentral:tRNA from 1 species